rnacentral:rRNA from 1 species
GACGGAGGAUGCAAGUGUUAUCCGGAAUCACUGGGCGUAAAGCGUCUGUAGGUGGUCAAAUAAGUCAACUGUUAAAUCUUGAGGCUCAACCUCAAAACCGCAGUCGAAACUAUUAGACUAGAGUAUAGUAGGGGUAAAGGGAAUUUCCAGUGGAGCGGUGAAAUGCGUAGAGAUUGGAAAGAACACCGAUGGCGAAGGCACUUUACUGGGCUAUUACUAACACUCAGAGACGAAAGCUAGGGUAGCAAAUGGGAUUAGAUACCCCAGUAGUCCUAGCUGUAAACAAUGGAUACUAGAUGUUGAACAGAUCGACCUGUGCAGUAUCAAAGCUAACGCGUUAAGUAUCCCGCCUGGGAAGUAUGCUCGCAAGAGUGAA